rnacentral:sRNA from 1 species
AAUUACAAAAAUUAGCCGGGUGUGGUGGCAGACACCUGUAAUCCCAGUUACUUGAGAGGCUGAGGCAGGAGAAUCGCUUGAACCCAGGAGGCAGAGGUUGCAGUGAGCCGAGAUCGCACUACGGCACUCCAACCUGGGCAACAGAGUGAGACUCCAUCUCAAAAAAAAACCCCAAAAAAACUAAUGGGCCAUGGCCCAAAAGCUUGCACACCAAGGGGAUAGCGCAUAUGGUCUCUGGGGAUUUGGGGGGGUCCUUUGACAGUGAUUGUUAUACCCCACCCUGCCAUUAGGAACACUCUACCCCCAGUACCCACCCUCCUGAGAGGGCUUGGGGGCCCUCAGUAGACUGGAGGUCUUUUACAACCCAGACACCUGUUGGACAGGGUGGAAGAGGCGAGGAACAGACAAGGGUCCCUGUCCACGAUGGGAUCUGGGCUGCCCUUUGCCCUCAUGGUGGACGUGUCUGCUGGGGCUUUGUACCUCAGUUUGGGCAGACAGGACAUGGGCUCAUCCACCAGCUAUGGGGUCUCUCCAUUGCUGCUCAGACGCCAGGUCCCAGGUUGCAGUCCUGUGAUGGCAGUACACUCUCUCCCGGCAGAUCUCCCAGGUCUGCCAGCUGUGCCAGCAAUCCCCCCGGCUCUUCUCCAACCAUGCAGCACAGCUGCACACAUUGCUGGUGAGUAACCCUGUGACAGCACCCCAGGAGAAUCCAGAAUGUUCUCAGUAAGUAAGUACCUAACCAGAUCCAGAACAUUCCCAGUGAAGAACCCUCUGACAGCACCCUAAUCAGAAUCCGGAAUGUUCCCAUAGGUAAUCAUAUAACCUUCCCAGGCAAGAUGCAGAAUGCUUCCAGUGAGCAUCUUGUCCCACCCCACAUUGGCUUGGGUUUGAAAGGUGGGGACAGUGAGCAUAUUACCUGCCUUGCAGCUGGCUUGGUAGAGCCAUUGUCGUACUCCUCCAGGGCAGCCGUGUAGGCCCUGGGCGCACCACAUGUGUCUCUGAUCUGAGCCCCCUCCCCAGAGGCCAGCCCUGAUGACAACACCACCUUCUUCCAGGGCCUGUACUGUGUCUCUGUCAACUGCAUGGACAACGCGGAAGCCCAGUUCACCACAGCUCUGCGGCUCACCAACCACCAGGAGCUGUGGGCCUUCAUCGUCACCAACCUGGCGAGUGUGUAUAUACGGGAAGGAAAUAGACACCAAGAGGUACUCUACAGUCUGUUGGAGAGGAUCAACCCGGACCACAGCUUCCCUGUCAGCUCGCACUGCCUCCGAGCAGCUGCCUUCUACGUGCGUGGGCUCUUCUCCUUCUUCCAGGGACGCUACAACGAGGCCAAGCGAUUUCUGCGGGAAACUCUGAAGAUGUCCAAUGCUGAGGACCUGAACCGGCUCACAGCCUGCUCCCUCGUGCUCCUGGGCCACAUCUUCUAUGUGCUGGGAAACCACAGGGACAUAUAAAGCAGGAUGUGUGUCUUGACCUGUAAAUUUAGUUUCACGUGAUCUGAGGGCUCCCUCAGCGUGGAUGCUGUUAACAAACGUGGUGCCCGCCCCAUCCCGACACCACAACACACAGACACACAACUGUGUGGAGAGUAACAACAUGGUGGUGCCCGCCAUGCAGCUCGCCAGCAAGAUCCCGGACAUGUCGGUACAGCUGUGGUCGUCAGCACUGCUGAGAGACCUGAAUAAAGCCUGUGGGAACGCCAUGGACGCCCAUGAAGCUGCCCAGAUGCACCAGAACUUCUCGCAGCAGCUGCUCCAGGACCACAUUGAGGCCUGCAGCCUCCCCGAACACAACCUCAUCACGUGGACAGACGGUCCACCCCCCGUGCAGUUCCAAGCUCAGAAUGGACCCAACACCAGCCUGGCCAGCCUCCUGUGAGGCCUUGAUGGGGCCAUCCAGCUCCGCAGGGCCUGCGCGUCUCCGGCUUCCACCCAGACGGCACUCAAGCCUGCCUUCGAGGCGUGCUUCCUUCCUGAUUGUCUCUAGAGCUUCCAAGUCCUGGGAAUGUGCGGGGCCAGUCCCUGCCCUCCCAGGAGGGGUGGCAGCCGUUCACACCUCGCACCAGGACCCCCAGUGCAGAGGCUCACAGGUGGCACACAGGCACUGUCUCUCCAGAGCCAUCCUUCAGAGUGGACCUCAGUGCCAGUCCUGCCUUGGCAUCUGGGUCACGUCAGCCAGGAGUAGGGUGCAGGCCUCCAGCAGGUCCUAAUCCUGUGUGCCAGGGCAGGCGGUGCCCCAGGGGCACCACGCCUGACUCUCCAUCACCCAGGCCUUGAUGCCGAGCGGGAGUAGAGUGUUUCCUCUGCUCAAGGCAAUUUCUAGAGCCCGGAUGCCAGUUUCUGGCCUGAAUUUGGAGGGAAGAAGUAAUGGCCCGCGUGCGGGACGAAGCACAGAUCCCAGCACUUUUCCCAGCUUUCUCUCCAGCGUCAGUCCCUGCAGCAGCCGGGACCUCUGGUCAGGAACCCUCAGGGACCCAGGAACUCAGCUUCCAAACAUCUGCACCUUGACCGGACUCGCCAUCCCGCCGUGGGGGUGCAGGUGAUUGUAAACACGGGUGUGCAUGUGGAUGCACAUGGGUGUGCGGUGAAGAUCUGUGGAGAUGGAGCUGGGAGCUGAGGCUCCUGUUGCACCAGCCACCUUCCCCCAUCUUGUGGCUGCUGAGGGGCAGGAAGUGGGGGAGUGGGCUCCUCUCCCAAAUUUAAGAUCACCUCCUCAGCUAGCUUAGAGUGCAUGGCACGGGCCCCCCACCCCCCAGAUCUGGAGCCCAGGGACUUUCUUCCUGGCAAAUCUGUGGCCUUCCCUGCUCAGCCUCUUGGUCCCCCACCCCCGCACUGCCUCACCUUCACUGCUGGGUCUCUGGGGCACAGUGUGAAACCCGCACCCUAGCCGGGCCCCAGGGAGCCUCCGCUGGGCCCAGACAGCAGCGUUUGGUUUUAUCUACUUUUCUUGGAUAAUCAGGAGGUGCCCCAGUGGUCACAGUGUGGCAUUCCGAGUUGCGGCGGGUGGUCAGGGGUCAAGAUAGCAGCAGCAGGUGUCAGGGCUCAAGACACCACCCCCUCCAGCUUCUGGGGCCCAGGAGCCUCUCCCUGCUGCAGGGGGUGGGGGUCCUGCUCAACAGGGUAGGUGGUGGUUUUAGGUCUUGUCACCCUCGCUUGGUGGAGCUGCCUCUGGGAGCUUUGGUGUCUGUGACUAAAGGGACGCUGGAUUGCUUAGGUCAGCUGCUCAGGGCUCCCAGGUUGGGUGUGCCUUAGCCACAGGCAGGGCUGUCAAUAACCCCCUUCCUCACUGGCCACCACCUAACAUCAGCACCAGUGACAGGCUGGUCAGAGGGCGGGGCUGGUGAGGGUUUGUUCUAAGAGGACCACCGCCAUCUCUGGGUCUCCAGGGGGAGAGCCUGGCACUGGCCCACAAACUGUCCCUGUCCUGUCUUCCUCCCGAGCCAUGGCCUCUGCUAGCUCCACCUUGAAGGAGCCCCCCACAUCCUCCCCUACAUCCCUGAGAUGCCACCACUUGUGUCUCCACAAUGUGCUCCUGCCCAACCGGGUCCCGCACUGUCCGACCCCUGCACACCACUCAUGUCACCACGGCGUGCAUCAUGUUCAUCCCCAUCUAUUUAUUUAAGCCUUUCUUUGCUUGUAGGGCAUUUUGUAUGUAGAGCAGUUGAAAACAGAACCUCAGAACUUAACAUCUGUCCUGAUGUUAAAGUGCUUUUCAUGACCACCCCGUUAUCUAUGUAUAUGUAAAGUUAAGGAUGAGAUCUUAAGUUUACAAUUAAAAACUCAGUACUCGA